rnacentral:rRNA from 1 species
UACGGGGGGAGCAAACGUUGUUCGGAAUCACUGGGCGUAAAGCGCACGUAGGCGGAUCUUUAAGUCAGGGGUGAAAUCCUGGAGCUCAACUCCAGAACUGCCUUUGAUACUGGGGAUCUCGAGUCCGGAAGAGGUGAGUGGAACUCCGAGUGUAGAGGUGAAAUUCGUAGAUAUUCGGAAGAACACCAGUGGCGAAGGCGGCUCACUGGUCCGGUACUGACGCUGAGGCGCGAAAGCGUGGGGAGCAAACAGG